CCCUGCAUUUGAAAGUGAUCGUGGGUUCCUCGUGCCCUGGUCAUUGAUAGUGCAGGGAGAGCAAUUGCUGAAAGCAUUUCCCGGUGUUUGGAGGGUCCACCCUUGUCCCUUGCAAACCCUGGAGCUUUCACACA